CAAUCAUGGACAUCAAACGAACGUUCAGGGUCUCUAGAGACGAUUGGCAAGGAGACCCAUGUGUUCCACAUAAAUAUUCAUGGAAUGGUUUAACUUGCAGUUCAGAUAAUACUCCAAGGAUCAUUACACUGAAUUUGAGUUCAAGCAACUUGACAGGGAAGAUAGUGACUUCAUUCUCCAACCUCACAGCACUGCAGUACUUGGAUUUAUCAUACAAUAGCUUGGAUGGGAGCGUACCAGAAUUUUUAGCUCAGCUACCAAAUUUGAAGACCCUUAAUUUAAAUGGUAACCAGCUGAAAGGUACAGUUCCAGAGGCUCUUAUACAGAAGUCCAGAAAUGGAUUAUUGGUCUUGGGUCUUGGCGAAAAUUCAGAUCUUUGUUACCCAGUUCCAUGUAAGAAGAAGGAGAAGAAGAAGAUAAAGGGGCUGAUUGUUUCACUUGCUGCUACGUCCCUAGUAGUCCUGGUCCUUCUUCUCAUUUUUUGUGCUCUGGCUAUCUACAAAAGGAAAAGACGAGAAUCCAACAUCAAAUUGAAGAAUAGCAAGAUGGCCGUGGAAUCCAACAUCAAACCGAAGAAUCAACAAUAUAGCUACUCUGAGGUUGUGAGAAUAACUGAUAACUUCAAUACCAUUAUUGGAGGAGGAGGAUUUGGAAAAGUUUACUUGGGAACUCUGGAAGAAACUCAAGUUGCUGUUAAGUUGCUUUCUCCAUCAUCGAACCAAGGCUAUAAGGAAUUUCGGGCAGAGGCAGAAAUCUUAGUGAGAGUUCAUCAUAGAAACUUGGUCUCUCUCGUCGGGUACUGUGAUGAGGGUGAAAACAAAGCGCUCAUCUAUGAGUACAUGGCUAAUGGCAACCUACACCAACAUUUAUCAGGUACCAAUAUGAAUGUCCUGAACUGGAAUCAGAGAAUUCAAAUUGCGGUGGAUAUAGCACAAGGGUUGGAGUAUCUGCAUAAUGGUUGCAAGCCAACUAUCGUUCACAGAGAUUUAAAGACUACCAAUAUCUUAUUAAAUGAAAAUAUGGAAGGAAAGAUAGCUGAUUUUGGGUUGUCAAGGACUUUCGCAGCAGAAAGUGAUUCUCAUGUGUCAACUCGUCCUGCUGGAACACUUGGAUACCUUGAUCCUGAGUUUUAUGCAUCUGGAAACUUUAACAAAAAAAGUGAUGUUUAUAGCUAUGGUAUUGUCCUCUUUGAGCUAAUUACAGGCCACCGAGCAAUAAUAAAAGGACCUGAAAAAAACACCCACAUACUUGACUGGGUUUAUCCUAUAAUUGAAAGUGGGGAUAUUCAAAACAUUAUUGAUGCAAGGUUACAUGGAGAAUUCCACAAAAAUUCUGCCUGGAAAGCUGUGGAGAUAGCCAUGUCAUGUGUACCACCUGUGGCAAUCCAAAGGCCGGACAUGAGUCAAGUAUUGGUAGAAAUAAAGGAAUGUUUGACUCUGGAGAUGGCUUAUGAAAGAGGCCAAAAUAAGACAACUUCAAACAGUCAACUUGUAGCGGCCUCUUUAGAGCUUGAAUCAGAUAUUGCUGCCCUUGCUAGGGAUUUAUCGUACAAUAACCUGACUGGAAACGUACCAGAAUUUUUAGCACAACUGCCAAAUUUGAAGAUCCUAGGGAAUAAUCUGAAAGGUUCGGUGCCAGAGGCUCUUAUACAGAAAUCUAGGGAUGGAUCAUUAGUCUUGAGUGGGUUGUCAUGCCUCUUAACCAGUUCAAACACCAGAGUUAAAUCCAAUAUCAAAUCAAAGAAUCGACAAUAUAGCUACCCCGAGGUUGUGGAAAUAACUAAUAGCUUUCAAACCAUUGUCGGAGAAGGAGGAUUUGGAAAAGUUUAUCUGGGCAUUCUAAAAGAUGAAACUAAGGUCGCUAUUAAGUUGCUGUCUCCAUCAUCAAAGCAAGGCUAUAAAGAAUUUCAAGCAGAGGUUAGAUACAUGAGUGUGAUCCAUUAAUUCAAAUUCACAACUCUCAUUGGGUACUGUGAUGAAGGUGAAUACAAGGCACUUAUUUAUGAGUACAUGGCUAAUGGAAACCUACAACAGCAUUUAUCAGUUACUAAUAUGAAUGUCUUGACUUGGAAUCAGAGGCUUCAUAUUGCAAUGGAUGCAGCACAUGGGUUGGAGUACCUACAUAAUGGUUGCAAGCCAACAAUAAUACAUAGAGAUUUAAAGACCUCCAACAUCUUAUUAAAUGAAAAGAUGCAAGCAAAGAUUGCUGAUUUUGGGUUGUCGAGGGCUUUUGCAACUGAAGAUGACACUCAUGUGUCAAGUCGUCCUGCUGGUACACUUGGAUAUCUUAAUCCUGAAUUUCAAAAAUCUGGAAAUUUUAACAAGAAAACUGAUAUUUAUAGCUACGGUAUUGUUCUAAUUGAGCUAAUCACUGGCCGCCCGGCAAUAAUAAGAGGAACUGAAGAAAACACACACAUAGUUGACUGGGUUCAUCCUAUGAUUGAAAGUGGAGAUAUUCGGAACAUUAUUGAUCCAAGGUUACAUGGACAAUUUGAUAUCAAUUCUGCCUGGAAAGCUGUGGAGAUAGCCAUGUCAUGCAUAGCACCAGGGACAAUCCAAAGGUCGGAUAUGAGUGAAGUAUGUGCAGAGUUAAAGGAAUGUUUGGCUCUAGAGAUGGCUCAUGGAAGAAGCCAAAGGAUGGUGACUGGGGGCAAUAAGACAAUUUCAAACAAUCAACUCAUAACGACCUCUUUAGAGCUUGAAUCAGAUAUUGCUGCCCUUGCUAGGUAG